UACGGGGGAGCAAGCGUUGUUCGGAUUUACUGGGCGUAAAGGGCGCGUAGGCGGCGCAACAAGUCACUUGUGAAAUCUCCGGGCUUAACCCGGAGCGGCCAAGUGAUACUGUCGUGCUAGAGUGCGGAAGGGGCUACUGGAAUUCUCGGUGUAGCGGUGAAAUGCGUAGAUAUCGAGAGGACACCUGCGGCGAAGGCGGGUAGCUGG
rnacentral:rRNA from 1 species